rnacentral:rRNA from 1 species
AUGGCAGCANGCGCNCAAAAUGCCCAAUNUCUGAAAGACGAGGCUGUGAAGAUAAAUAACAAUAUGAGCUCUUUGAGUGUCAUAAUGGGAAUGAGAACCAUGUAAAUAUCUGUUUCGAGUAACAAUNGGAGGGCAAGUCUGGUGCCAGCAGCCGCGGUAAUUCCAGCUCCAAUAGUGUAUAUUAAAGUUGUUGCAGUUAAAAGCUCGUAGUCGAAAUUGAGGUGUACUUCUGGUUGAUAUGAAUUUAUUGACUAGUUGUCACCUUCUCCGUCGUGUAUACUUUUGAUGACUUUCACGAGUUGUCAGAGGUAACCGACAAGUUUACUUUGAAAAAAUUAGAGUGCUUAAAGCAGGCUUACGCUUGAAUAUUGAUGCAUGGAAUAAUGAAAUAGGACUUUGGUUCUAUUUUCAGUUGGUUUCAAGAACCGAAGUAAUGAUCGAUAGAAUCAGCCGGGGGCAUACGUACGCUUGUGGGAGAGGUGAAAUUCGAGGAUCGCAAGCAGACGAACUACUGCGAAAGCAUUUGCCAAGAAUGUUUUCAUUGAUCAAGAACGAAAGUUAGAGGAUCGAAAGCGAUCAGAUACCGCUCUAGUUCUAACCAUAAACUAUGCCGACUGACGAUUUACUAUGGCACACCUUUUUUGCCUUGUGAGCAGUCACUGGAAAACCUAAGUCUAUGGGUUCUGGGGGAAGUAUGGUUGCAAAGCUGAAACUUAAAGGAAUUGACGGAAGGGCACCACCAGGAGUGGAGCCUGCGGCUUAAUUUGACUCAACACGGGAAAUCUCACCCGGUCCGGACACUGUGAUGAUUGACAGAUUGAUAGCUCUUUCUUGAUUCAGUGGGUGGUGGUGCAUGGCCGUUCUUAGUUGGUGGAUUGAUUUGUCUGGUUAAUUCCGAUAACGAACGAGACUCUAACCUACUAAAUAGUACACGCAUGAAUUGACUCUAGUGCGUGCUGACUUCUUAGAGGAAUUAGUGGUUAUUAACCAAAUGAAAGAGAGCAAUAACAGGUCAGUGAUGCCCUUAGAUGUCCGGGGCCGCACGCGCGCUACAAUGGCAGUACCAGCGAGUUUAAUUCCUAGCCUGAGAGGGUCGGGUAAACUGCUAAUUGCUGUCAUAUCUGGGAUAGUGGUUUGCAAUUAUUCCACUUGAACGAGGAAUUCCUAGUAAGUACAAGUCACUAGCUUGUGCUGAUUACGUCCCUGCCCUUUGUACACACCGCCCGUCGCUACUACCGAUUGAAUAUUUUAGUGAGGUUGUUGGAUUCGACUUUAAGUGACGCAAGUUACUAAAGGUCGGAGAAGAUACCCAAACUGCAAUA